UCGAUUCUCGGCUAGUGCACCAA
rnacentral:misc_RNA from 1 species